UACGAAGGGGGCUAGCGUUGCUCGGAAUUACUGGGCGUAAAGCGCACGUAGGCGGCUUUCUAAGUCGGGGGUGAAAUCCUGGAGCUUAACUCCAGAACUGCCUUCGAUACUGGAAAGCUCGAGUCCGGGAGAGGUGAGUGGAACUGCGAGUGUAGAGGUGAAAUUCGUAGAUAUUCGCAAGAACACCAGUGGCGAAGGCGGCUCACUGGCCCGGUACUGACGCUGAGGUGCGAAAAGCGUGGGGGAGCAAACAGGG
rnacentral:rRNA from 1 species